UAGGGAAUCUUCCACAAUGGGCGCAAGCCUGAUGGAGCAACACCGCGUGAGUGAAGAAGGGUUUCGGCUCGUAAAACUCUGUUGUUAAAGAAGAACAUAUCUGAGAGUAACUGUUCAGGUAUUGACGGUAUUUAACCAGAAAGCCACGGCUAACUACGUGCCAA
rnacentral:rRNA from 1 species